GAUCCUGGCUCAGGAUGAACGCUAGCGGCAGGCUUAACACAUGCAAGUCGAGGGGCAGCGUGGAGUAGCAAUACUCUGACGGGCGGCCGGCGAAAGGGUGAGUAACGCGUGAGCAACAUGCCCGGUAGUGGAGAAUAGUCGAUGGAAACGUUGCGUAAUACUCCGUAACAUAGAGAACCGCAUGAUUUUCUAUUAAUAGAUUUAUCGCUACCGGAUUGGCUCGCGUACCAUUAGCUAGUUGGCGGGGUAACGGCCCACCAAGGCGACGAUGGUUAGGGGUUCUGAGAGGAAGGUCCCCCACAUUGGAACUGAGACACGGUCCAGACUCCUACGGGAGGCAGCAGUGAGGAAUAUUGGACAAUGGCCGAGAGGCUGAUCCAGCCAUGCCGCGUGGCCGGGAAGACGGCCCUAUGGGUUGUAAACCGCUUUUGUUGGGGAGCAAUAAGGUCCACGCGUGGAUCGAUGAGAGUACCCAGCGAAUAAGCAUCGGCUAACUCCGUGCCAGCCGCCGC
rnacentral:rRNA from 1 species